UUAUGAUUGGUUUAAUGCCGACUGUUCGUUCAGAUCUUCCUCAAUUAUUGGUUACGUCUGCACAGAAAUCUUCAUCGCUGUUUCGCGCCAGUGUGUUCCCUUGUUAAUUUUUAGUCGACCAGUGUGGUACCAAGGCUUGUUUGGAAAACGUACCGCUUGAUGUGGGUGUCAUCACAUGUGCGGUAAACCUGACCAUGAAAGGCCAGGCUGCCUGCUAUGCGCCGAUACAAAUGUGCAUGGACUCAUACCAAGUUAAGAGGAAACUUUACAUUGGCAUUUGGAGGCUUGGGAGCAAGAAGAUUGAGGAUGCUUGCGACUUCAGGCCCAUCUUCUACCAAUGGAUGCUGAAAUGUUGGCUGAAACUGCUUCCUCCGAAAGUUGAAGAGCCCUACUUGUUCAGAGGCUGACAGCUUGGGAUCCUCUAUCGCAUUUACCAUUGUGGAAGCACACUGCGACAGCAACGUGAUGACACCGAAACACAGAUAGUCAACCUGUAUGUGUCUAAUAAAACAACCUGUCUUAAGCUGUUUGAUGGUAAGCGGCUGCGCAACAGCCGGUUAAUUUUGCUCAGACUAACGAUGUU